AGAUGUGAGUGUUCGUCCCACCAAAUUUAUAUAACGUGACCGCCCUGUUGAUCAGUCAAAACGCACAGAAAUAUUGGGAGUAUAGUGAUCUUUUAUUCGCCGACUUGACCCUCGGGAUAGAGAGAUUAUAGAGAUUUAUAGAGAUUAGGGAUGCGUCACCGUCUACGUCGUGCCUAUCGGUCUCCAGUUGUUAUCGGUGUUAUCGAUAUUCUCCCGUGUGACUCUCCGUCGUAUGGUCACUCUCCGCCAAACCGAUCGAUCGUCAGCUGCUAUCGGUUCCGUGACCCAACGUGGCGUUCCCACCCGGUGUUAUCGAUGUUCGACAGCGUGACUCCUUGUGCCGAUAUUUCCAGUAUUUUGUGCCUACCGAUCGACACUAUCGUCUAGUGCUAGUCGGCCGCUAUGAAUCGAUGCGCCCCCAACCCUUGUUUAUAGUGAUUUCGCACAAUGAUAUGCUUGGCCCAGGAUUGCAGCGUUGACCUUUCCUGCCCUUGGAGCAGGGUCAAUGACCCUGCUAGGUUCAUCACUUAUCGAUGUUCCACAGUGUGACUCUUUGUGCCGAUAUUUCCAGUAUUCUGUGCCCACCGAAUCUUCGAGUGCCCAUCGGCCGCUAUAAGUUGAAGUGCCCCCAUCCCUUGUUUAUAGUGACUUCGCACAAUGAUAUGCUUGGCCCAGGACUGCCGAGUUGACCUUUCCUGCCCUUGGGGCCGGGGUCAAUAACCCUGCUGGGGUCACCACUUUCUUGCGUCGUUCUGCAUUUAGUUGGCAAGUGGUUUGUUUUCCUGCGAACCCGGUUUUAAUGUAUAUCUCUCAUUUCAGAUUGCCGGAU